rnacentral:lncRNA from 1 species
AUGCAUCAGCCUAUGGGACACCACACAGCACAGAACUGGGUCAAGUAUGCUCCCGCCAGGAAAGCCAAUGACAUUUUGUUACUUCUUUUCAAGGAAAAGCAAUUUCUGUCCAGCCCAAUACUUCUCAGCCACACACAGUUAAGGACAAUCACUGCUACAUGCUGGUGGUUGGCUCCUGGGUGCAGGAUACAUGUGCUCUUAGCUGUGCUUGCAGUUGGAGGACAACCUGUCAAGACUGCUGUUAGCCAAAGUGUCUGGUCAUAGGCUGCACUAAAAGAAGACCCUGAAAUCGAAGACUGUGGCUGAGAUGUGAGUCAUCAGCAGAUACCAAGCACAUUUCAGAGAAAAACCACUAAAUGGAACAUGCUUGUACUGCCCUCUGAUCUUUUUAGCUUGUACUUAUAUUACAGAAGUUACACACGGAAGGCAAGAGUCAACAGUGAAUGACAGCAACCUCAGUUGUCAAGAAAGCCUUACUACCCAGCUUCUUGCUCCUGCUUUUCCUCAUCUUUAUGUUCCUGUUAUCUCAAGUCCCCUUCCUUUUUUGUUCCAGCUCUGAUUAUCAACAGGCUUUUCUAUUAAUUGAUAUAACUCAUCCAGCAACAGAAAAAAAGAUCCAUUUUUUGUUGCUUAAUGGAAGAAACUGGCUCACAGAAACACCUUGUUAGCUCUGUGCUGUAGGCAGGAGUGAAUGGCUAGUGCUGGGGCAGAAAGGGGGGGGAGAAACGUGGGUGUCAGCUGUGAUAGGCUGUUAAUUCGCCUCAUCAGAGGUGUGAAACCAUCACUUGGGGCCCAACAGCUUGUCUUGCAAGCAAAGGUGGUGAGAAUACCUGCCAAGAAGGUUCUAUAAGCUGUGGUUAAUCAUAUUGCUACAGCAGCUAAUGUGGGCAAAACUAGAAGUGGAAUGUUAUCCAAGCCCCAGGUUUUCAUUAGCUGCAAAUACAGCACUGAUAAUAGAAUGAUGCACAGUCAAAGCAUAAGUGGAACACUGAAAAUAUCUUAAGUAAUUUGUAGCACUGAAUAGUGAAUUUAAGAGUAAAAAGUGC